rnacentral:other from 1 species
AAUCCCCUGCGGAGUAGGUGAUGCUCGAGCUGAAAUUGAGCCAACACUUAGUAAAAGGGAUCCCGGGAUAGCGUGCGGAGUGCAUGCCUCGUCAUCGGGGAAGCGUGAAGCACCCGGCUGGGAACCCACCUGGCUUGCCAGGUUCAAUAACGCCGAUCACACGACUCUGGCGGGGGAUUU